rnacentral:rRNA from 1 species
GCUACAGGCUUAACACAUGCAAGUCGAGGGGCAUCAGGAAGAAAGCUUGCUUUCUUUGCUGGCGACCGGCGCACGGGUGAGUAACACGUAUCCAACCUGCCCUUUACUCGGGGAUAGCCUUUCGAAAGAAAGAUUAAUACCCGAUGGCAUAAUGAUUCCGCAUGGUUUCAUUAUUAAAGGAUUCCGGUAAAGGAUGGGGAUGCGUUCCAUUAGGUUGUUGGUGAGGUAACGGCUCACCAAGCCUUCGAUGGAUAGGGGUUCUGAGAGGAAGGUCCCCCACAUUGGAACUGAGACACGGUCCAAACUCCUACGGGAGGCAGCAGUGAGGAAUAUUGGUCAAUGGGCGCUAGCCUGAACCAGCCAAGUAGCGUGAAGGAUGAAGGCUCUAUGGGUCGUAAACUUCUUUUAUAUAAGAAUAAAGUGCAGUAUGUAUACUGUUUUGUAUGUAUUAUAUGAAUAAGGAUCGGCUAACUCCGUGCCAGCAGCCGCGGUAAUACGGAGGAUCCGAGCGUUAUCCGGAUUUAUUGGGUUUAAAGGGAGCGUAGGUGGACUGGUAAGUCAGUUGUGAAAGUUUGCGGCUCAACCGUAAAAUUGCAGUUGAUACUGUCAGUCUUGAGUACAGUAGAGGUGGGCGGAAUUCGUGGUGUAGCGGUGAAAUGCUUAGAUAUCACGAAGAACUCCGAUUGCGAAGGCAGCUCACUGGACUGCAACUGACACUGAUGCUCGAAAGUGUGGGUAUCAAACAGGAUUAGAUACCCUGGUAGUCCACACAGUAAACGAUGAAUACUCGCUGUUUGCGAUAUACAGUAAGCGGCCAAGCGAAAGCAUUAAGUAUUCCACCUGGGGAGUACGCCGGCAACGGUGAAACUCAAAGGAAUUGACGGGGGCCCGCACAAGCGGAGGAACAUGUGGUUUAAUUCGAUGAUACGCGAGGAACCUUACCCGGGCUUAAAUUGCAGUGGAAUGAUGUGGAAACAUGUCAGUGAGCAAUCACCGCUGUGAAGGUGCUGCAUGGUUGUCGUCAGCUCGUGCCGUGAGGUGUCGGCUUAAGUGCCAUAACGAGCGCAACCCUUAUCUUUAGUUACUAACAGGUUAUGCUGAGGACUCUAGAGAGACUGCCGUCGUAAGAUGUGAGGAAGGUGGGGAUGACGUCAAAUCAGCACGGCCCUUACGUCCGGGGCUACACACGUGUUACAAUGGGGGGUACAGAAGGCAGCUAGCGGGUGACCGUAUGCUAAUCCCAAAAGCCUCUCUCAGUUCGGAUCGAAGUCUGCAACCCGACUUCGUGAAGCUGGAUUCGCUAGUAAUCGCGCAUCAGCCACGGCGCGGUGAAUACGUUCCCGGGCCUUGUACACACCGCCCGUCAAGCCAUGGGAGCCGGGGGUACCUGAAGUACGUAACCGCAAGGAUCGUCCUAGGGUAAAACUGGUGACUGGGGCUAAGUA